rnacentral:rRNA from 1 species
GACGAACGCUGGUGGCGUGCUUAACACAUGCGAGUCGAACGGAAAGGCCCUGCUUUUGUGGGGUGCUCGAGUGGCGAACGGGUGAGUAACACGUGAGUAACCUGCCCUUGACUUUGGGAUAACUUCAGGAAACUGGGGCUAAUACCGGAUAGGAGCUCCUGCUGCAUGGUGGGGGUUGGAAAGUUUCGGCGGUUGGGGAUGGACUCGCGGCUUAUCAGCUUGUUGGUGGGGUAGUGGCUUACCAAGGCUUUGACGGGUAGCCGGCCUGAGAGGGUGACCGGCCACAUUGGGACUGCGAUACGGCCCAGACUCCUACGGGAGGCAGCAGUGGGGAAUAUUGCACAAUGGGCGGAAGCCUGAUGCAGCAACGCCGCGUGCGGGAUGACGGCCUUCGGGUUGUAAACCGCUUUCGCCUGUGACGAAGCGUGAGUGACGGUAAUGGGUAAAGAAGCACCGGCUAACUACGUG